CUUAUAUAUCCUUCUUCAUAGGGGAGAGGGGAGAUGGGGAAAAGUAGGCAGUUGUUUUGAGGGAUAGUAAAUGAUUAUUAGGGAGAAUGAAUGAACCCAGGAGACAGAAAUUAAGUUGUAAGUGUUUCAUUUUAGAAUUUGAAUGAGCCAGAGAGGCAGACAGUAUCUCAUGAAAAACUCUAUCCAGACCGCCAGGUGAAAAGGGCUUCCCGGUGAACCUCGGACGGGCCUGCGCACUGGGAGAAUGGGGUGGAGCCACGGAAGUUCGCGCCAUUUGCAGAGGGGAGGAGCCCAGCCUCUUGCGUUCCUGUGUGAUGGGGCCGGAGCCAGUAAACAGGCUUCCUUCUCGCUCUGCUGUAAGUUUUUCUCUUUCUCCCUUUUCACCCAAGAAGUUCCGUUUUUCCUACCCUUCUACGUGUCCGCGAGUCUAAUCUUUUCUGGCCAUAUGACAAGAACCAGGAUUUUCCUACAAUAUAAUUUGUAUAAGAAGAAGAAGUAGGAGAAACAAAAUAAGGAGGAGAAGAAGUAAAAUAAUUUGAGAAGGAAUAUGAAGGGGCUGAAAUCCUGGGCUUUCUGGGCAGAAGGAUCUACGAGCGGGAUCGUGGGUGAAACAUGAAGAUGAUGGUGGACAGGUGAGCUACGCAGUUCGUGGAAGAACCAGGGGUCACAUGGCCUAGAUGCUACCCUAGAUGAGAAAGAGUCCAAUGGUUAUCAACAAGUUCUGAAAGGCAAGGCCUAAGGUCCCAUGUGGACAAGCCAGUAAGAGUUUUCAACUUGGGUGCCAGCAGUAACCGGUUAUACAAAGGAAACUCAACAUUCCUCUUCCCCAAAGUAAACCUAUUGCAAAAACCCCUUCCAUCUAAUAAUAGCAACUCAAGGUCCCAUGGAGUUUCAUACAUUUUCCAGAGUUACAAAACCUGGCUAACACUGAGUCAAGUUAGGAAUCUCAAUCAAUGUCUUUGACCAACUUAAAGUGUUUGUAGAAUGUUUGAUGUACCUAAGAGUGAGUAAAAUGUGAAAGUCAGUUGCUGGAAUUGGUUGAAUGAGAGUGUCGGGUGAAGAAGGCAAGACAUGCAACAGAGGAAGAGGAAUGUGUCAUCCAAGAGGGGAAAAGAGAAAUACUAUUACUAUCUGUUGUCUUGGUGGUUCUCAUGAGGAGUGAAAGGAGAAUUGCUAACCUGGAAGAAGAUCAGAGAAACACACUAUACAGUCCUGCAGUCCUUCACCAAGUAGCAUGGGAUAGAAGCUCUGAACAUCAGCAUAAUUUUGAGGCCUAAAGUGUAAGAAUUGCUAGAAAUGCUGUGGUAUUAUUAAUUAAUUAAUUAAUUAAUAAUUAAUUUAUUUUUGUAUUAACUUAUUUUUAUUUAGAAAUGAUGGUAAAGAUGAUGAUGAUGAUGAUGAUGAUGCUUACAAUAACAGAUACUCAAGGUUAAAAAAUAAUUGUAAAAGUUCAAACUUACAUUAGAGUAAAAGUUAUCCUGGGUGCUGCAACCUUUGUCCAACAUGACUCAUGUAACCAAUAUUAACAGUGUAACCACAAAGCUUUGUAGUGGAAUACAUGUAGGCAAUUAUUUUUACCCAACAAGAUAUACUAGCAUUGGUUUUUCUCUGCCUCUGUUUCUGAUGAGUUGUUCAUACAAUAGAGGCUAGAUAGAAUAUUCAAGUCAAUAUAAUACAAACACAACUACCACUACAUAUGGGCUAGAAGCAGGAACCCCAUCACCCACCUAGAGAAUACAGAAGAAUUGAGAAAGUGAAGAGAAUAUUGUCAGGAUAUUGGAGAAGAGAUUUCUUUGGCGAUGAUGGGCACUCAAGUGAGAUAAUUAGCUUAGGGUCACCUAGGGUCCUAUAAAAAGGUAACCCAGCAGAUAAACACUGCAGGAGUAUUUAACGAUGCUCAGGGGCCUGAGAAAUGGUAAAAUUACACCAUCACCCAGGCCCACGGUGCUGCAUAUAUCACUACAUCUCAUCCCCUGCUGCCCCCCACACUGCAGCCAGAAGUUGUGAAAGGCGCGCAGGAGAGAGCAGAGAAGCAGCAGGACCUCCCCUCUAUCUCCACUGUCGGUGUCCCUACCGAACAGGGUCCUAGAUGGGUAGGAAGGAAGAAUUUAACACUGAGUCAAGUUGGGAAUUUCAAUUGAUAGUUUGACUGAUUAAAAGUGAUUGUAGAAAUGCCUGCAUUAUCGGGCGGGUGCGGUGGCUCACGCCUGUAAUCCCAGCACUUUGGGAGGCCGAGGCAGGAGAUCACGAGGUCAGGAGAUCGAGACCAUCCUGGCUAACAUGGUGAAACCCCUUCUCUACUAAAAAUACAAAAAAUUAGCUGGGCGUGGUAGCCGGCGCCUGUAGUCCCAGCUGCUUGGGAGGCUGUGGCAGGAGAAAGGCGUGAAUCCAGGAGGCGGAGCUUGCAGUGAGAUCGUGCCACUGUACUCCAGCCUGGGCAACAGAGCGAGACUCUGUCUCAAUAAAUAAAUAAAUAAAUAAAUAAAUAAAAAGAAAUGCCUGCAUUAUCUACAAGUGAGCAGAGAAGUACAAGUUUGUAGACUAGUUUUUAAAUUAGCUGGGAAAGAUAACUCCCUCAGAACAAAUCUUAAAGGGAGAGUAGGAAAUAUAUAUAAUAAAUCUAGUUUUUUGUUUGUUUGUUUUUUGAGACAGAGUCUCACUCUGUCGCCCAGGCUGGAGUGCAGUGGUGUGAUCUCUGUUCACUGCAACCUCCACCUCCCGGGUUCGAGCGAUUCUCCUGUCUCAGCCUCCUGAGUAAAUGGGAUUAUAGGCAGCCACCACCAUGCCCAGCUAAUUCUUGUAUUUUUAGUAGAGGAGAUGGGGUUUCACCAUGUUGGCCAGGAUGGUCUCGAUCUCUUGACCUCGUGAUCUGCCUGCCUUGGCCUCCCAAAGUGGUGGGAUUACAGGAUCAAUCUAGUUUUUUAAUACAAUGCCUUCACUUCCCCGUGCCCCUCUUUUUUUCUUUUUUUUUUAACUUAAUUGCUUACAAGACGUAUCUUUUCUGUAUCAGCACAUGUUCAUAACUCUCCUUUUUUUUUUUUUUACCAAAUGUAUAAAAUGGACCAAUCUUUAGAUAUAUUAUUGUUUCUUUUGUUCAAAUUUCUUUGAAUAUUGUAUAAUCAGUGAUUAUUUAAACAUUUUGUGGUCGUCUUCUUGGUCCAUUAUUUCUUGGGCUGCUGGUCCUUUCUUUAUAAUAUUUAAGAUCUUUUUUAUUAAGAAAAUGUUACUUUGUUUUUAGUAAUCUUAAAGUCAUUCUCAAAGAUCUGGCAGCUAGUCAGUGUUCCUCUGUUGUUUGUUGCCUUGGAACUCAAACAAAGGGCCUGAUACAUGCUGUUGAUCACAAUAAGCUGAUCCUUUACACCCCACUAUUCCACCAGAAGUCAACACGCAAUGAAAUGGUUUAAAUUCUCGCUUGUGCAAUGGCUGAACUAGCUGUAUUUGGCCUUGUUGAAAGCAAUGGCAGGUACCACACUAAAUCAUUUUGAGGACUUUUCUCUAUGAAUGAAAGAGGAAAAGGAGGAUGUGUAACCAUCGGAGCCUCACUUAAUGUCAGGGAGUCAAUGCAACUUCCUCUCCUUCAGGCUGGAGGGGCAAUUUGAGUGUGUCAUGUAGAUGCACAGGUCUCUUGUAUUUAAUCUUUUCCUUUGAAGGGCAAAAAGCAGAAGAGCAUGUUUGCUCAGCCCCUGAUUUCAGCACCUCCAUCACAUAAGUCAUUGGAGGCCAACAGUAAUCACUCCUCGUCUCUCUUCUCUCACCAGAUACUACUGUUAGCUCUGGCUUUAGAACCGAGCCGCAUUCAUGACUGUUAACUAGAGAAGUGGCUUACCAAGUCUUCACCUUCUCAGAAGUCUCUCACAAUCAGCAUACUCAUUAAAGCUUUUACUUCCCAACACAACAAAUUUGCAUGCCUAUUUAAGUUAGUUAGUUCCAAAUAGGAGAAAAUGCCUGAAUAAAAUGGAGUUUAAGAAAAUGUCACUUUGUUUCUUUAAUUUUUUUAUUGAACUAAAAUAUGCACUAAUAAAAGUAUACAUUCCAUAAGGUAAAGCCUGAAGAACCUUUGCAAAAUGAAGACCCCUUUUAACUAGUAAUGUGACUAAGAAACAGAAUGCUACCAGCACCCGCAGAUGCCUCCUUCUUGACACUUUAUAGUAAAUAACUCAAAGGUAUCCAUUAUUUUGACCUUUAAUGGCAUUACUUUAUUUCAUCCUUCAAAAAAAUAGAAUUAAACUGUGCAUACUCUUUGAUAUGGCUUCUUUCUCAAGUUAGAUGCAUUCGUAUUUUUGGGUGUAGUUGUAGGUCAUGGAUUUUACUGAAUUCUAAUGUAUGAAUAUAUCAUAUUUUAGUUCUUUAAUUACAUGACUUAUGGGCAUUUGAAUUGUUUCUAGUUUGAGCUCUUAAAAAUAGUACUACUACAUUCUAUACAUGCCAUUUGGAGUCUAUUUUAUUUCAGCCUCUAAAAUUAAGUAAAGUGUCUUUAGUGAAAGGGGAAAAAUAUUCUGCUUGAAUCUAAUUGAUGGACACUUAAAAUAUAAGCCUUAGGAUGACAGAUUUGAAUAUCAUGAUUAAAAUAUACACUUGAAAUUAAACUCAAAAAACUGUAAUCCUGUAACGAUAAAAUAAAAAUUAUAGUAAAAAGGGAAAGUUAAUCUUUGUUUUAAAAAUAACAAGUACCAAAGUCAUGUAAAGAAGCUAAAAGUACUGGUCUUGAAUUAUGGCUUCAUCAAGUGUUGGCUUUUUGAAAUUAGAGAAGUUAUUGGAAUGUCUUUGUGCCUCAGUUUCUUUAUCUUUAAAAUGGGGAUAAUUGCAAUAUCUACCUUGUAGGAUUGUUAAUUCAUAUAGGACACUUGGAACAGUACCUGAGGUGUGGUAAACACUAGUAAGUGUUUAUUUUUAUUAUGCUGAAUAAAGGCUGUAGAUCAAGAAUGUGUCCCAAAGUUGUGAAUAGAGUGUCACAAUGUAUCCAAGAAUUGUGAAGCAAUGAUUCUGUACAAUACAAUAAAGUUUAAUUAUUUACAAAAAUU
rnacentral:lncRNA from 10 species